UGGCUCAGAGGUUAAAGCAUCUGCCUGGAAUGCGGGAGACCCAGGUUCUAUCCCUGG
rnacentral:tRNA from 1 species